rnacentral:snRNA from 1 species
GUGCUUGCUUCGGCAGCACAUAUACUAAAAUUGGAAUGAUACAGAGAAGAUUAGCAUGGCCCCUGCACAAGGAUGACAUGCAAAUUCAUGAAGCGUUCCAUAUUUUU